UGGGGAAUAUUGCACAAUGGAGGGAACUCUGAUGCAGCAACGCCGCGUGCGGGAUGACGGCCUUCGGGUUGUAAACCGCUUUCAGCCAUGACGAAGCUUUUGUGACGGUAGUGGUAGAAGAAGCACCGGCUAACUACGUGCCAGCAGCCGCGGUGAUACGUAGGGUGCGAGCGUUGUCCGGAAUUAUUGGGCGUAAAGAGCUUGUAGGCGGUUUGUCGCGUCGAUAGUGUAAACACGCAGCUUAACUGUGUGCCUGCUGUCGAUACGGGCUGACUAGAGGAGGGUAGGGGAGAAGGGAAUUCCCGGUGGAGCGGUGGAAUGCGCAGAUAUCGGGAGGAACACCAGUGGCGAAGGCGGUUCGCUGGACCUUUCCUGACGCUGAGAAGCGAAAGCGUGGGUAGCAAACAGG
rnacentral:rRNA from 1 species